rnacentral:rRNA from 1 species
GACGAACGCUGGCGGCGUGCUUAACACAUGCAAGUCGAGGGAGAAAGGGGCUUCGGCUCCUGAGUAAACCGGCGCACGGGUGAGUAACACGUAGGUAACGUACCUUCGAGUCUGGGAUAACCAGUCGAAAGACUGGCUAACACCAGAUACGACUGUGGGAGCUCCGGCUUUUGCAGUGAAAGAUGGCCUCUGCUUGCACGCUAUCACUCGUUGAUCGGCCUGCGCACCAUUAGCUAGUUGGUGAGGUAAUGGCUCACCAAGGCUGAGAUGGUUAGCUGGUCUGAGAGGAUGGCCAGCCACACUGGGACUGAGACACGGCCCAGACUCCUACGGGAGGCAGCAGUGGGAAUAUUGGUCAAUGGCCGAAAGGCUGAACCAGCAACGCCGCGUGAGGGAUGAAGGUCUAAGGAUUGUAAACCUCUGUUAGGAGGGACGAAUAGUUCCGUAACGAACUUACGGGAUUUGACGGUACCUCCAGAGAAA